UAAAGCAUUGUUUUUGUAAACCAAAGCCGGAUAUUCCUUAGAGCA
rnacentral:tRNA from 1 species